rnacentral:rRNA from 1 species
UACGGAAGGCAGCAGUGGGGAAUAUUGCACAAUGGGCGCAAGCCUGAUGCAGCCAUGCCGCGUGUAUGAAGAAGGCCUUCGGGUUGUAAAGUACUUUCAGUCGUGAGGAAGGUGUUAAGGUUAAUAACCUUAGCAAUUGACGUUAGCGACAGAAGAAGCACCGGCUAACUCCGUGCCAGCAGCCGCGGUAAUACGGAGGGUGCGAGCGUUAAUCGGAAUUACUGGGCGUAAAGGGCACGCAGGCGGUUAAUUAAGUUGGAUGUGAAAUCCCCGGGCUUAACCUGGGAAUGGCAUUCAAGACUGGUUAGCUAGAGUCUUGUAGAGGGGGUAGAAUUCCAUGUGUAGCGGUGAAAUGCGUAGAGAUGUGGAGGAAUACCGGGUGGCGAAGGCGGGCCCCUGGGACAAAGGACUGACGCUCAUGUGCGAAAGCGUGGGGAGCGAAACAGGGAUUAGAU